ensembl:snoRNA
CUGUGAUGAAACAGAACCUCAACAGCUGGAAUUACCGGCAGACUGUUAGUGGUGACGGGGUUUUGUUCUGAUU